rnacentral:rRNA from 1 species
UGGGGGAUAUUGCACAAUGGGCGCAAGCCUGAUGCAGCGACGCCGCGUGGGGGAUGAAGGCCUUCGGGUUGUAAACUUCUUUUGCUCUGAACAAGGCGCACUUUGGGGUGUGUUGAGUGUAGGGGUUGAUUAGCGCCGGCUAACUACGUGCCAGCAGCCGCGGUAAUACGUAGGGCGCGAGCGUUGUCCGGAAUUAUUGGGCGAAAAGGGCUUGUAGGUGGCUGGUUGCGUCUGUCGUGAAAGCUCAUGGCUUAACUGUGGGUUUGCGGUGGGUACGGGCUGGCUUGAGUGCAGUAGGGGAGGCUGGAAUUCCUGGUGUAGCGGUGGAAUGCGCAGAUAUCAGGAGGAAUACCGGUGGCGAAGGCGGGUCUCUGGGCUGUUACUGACACUGAGGAGCGAAAGCAUGGGGAGCGAACAGG